GGUUUCUUGUAAUUAUUUAGGAGACCUGACCUGCCCACUGAAAAUAUUUUGAAGGGCCGCAGUAUUUUGACUGUGCAAAGGUAGCAUAAUCAUUAGUCUUUUAAUUGAAGGCUGGUAUGAAUGGUUGGAUGAGGUAAAUCCUGUUUUAUGUUAAUUGAUGUUGAAUUUAGAUUUUAAGUAAAAAUACUUAAAUGUUAUUAAGGGACGAGAAGACCCUAUAGAGUUUAAUAAAUAUAAUAAUUAAUUGAGUUAAAGUUUAAUUUUUGGUUUUUAUGUAAUUUAUUUAAUUGGGGUGAUUGGAAGAUAAAAUAAACUCUUCUUUAUAUUUAAUAAAUUAAUUAGUUAUAUGAUCCAUAUUUAAUGAUUAAAAGAUUAAAUUACCUUAGGGAUAACAGCAUAAUUCUUUUUAAGAGUUCAUAUCGAAAAAAGAGAUUGUGACCUCGAUGUUGGAUUAAGAUUAGUUAUGGGUGCAGAUGUUCAAUAACUAGGUCUGUUCGACCUUGAAAAUCUU
rnacentral:rRNA from 1 species